rnacentral:tRNA from 1 species
AGCAACUUGACGCAGUGGAAGCGUGCAGGGCUCAUAUUGAUUGCUACCCUGAAGUCCCUGGAUCGAAACCAGGAGUUGCUA